GGUUGGUAACAAGAUGAUCUGUGACUCUUUCUUCACUUCAAAACCCUUGGACACCCCCACCCACCACUCUGCACAAUGUCUCUCUAGUAAGAGAGAAAGCUGGAAGACGAGCUCUAGGUAGCACAGCCACCAGUCACCAUGAUGCUCUAGAAUCGGCAGUCAUUACUGUGAGAAGUUGCUUUGGAUUCCCCAUCAUGAAUAGUGCCGCAGAAGGGAGAAGUCAGCUCUGGACACGAGUCCCCACUGCGCUCAUCUCCCUCAUAAAGGGGGCCAGCAUUGCAGUGUUUGGCUUUCUUCUUUUGCACAUGAGGUGGCAAGUGGUCAAGAAGAAGGGGAUACUGUAAUUUGAGGGCUGUCUUGGAUCAUCACGGUUAUAGAGCUCGUGGGUCCAGUGGUAAGAGCAGGUCCUGCUCAGGCAGAGUCCAAGGGAAGGUGACAACAGAGGAGACUGGAGCAGUGCCUGGGGAAAAGGAAGUGAAGAGUGACAGGCCAAGUGUUGCACCACAGAUCAGUCUUUAAGCUGGAAUGGGGAUCAGGACCCCUGCUGUAUGUCCCUUCAAAGAGCCGUGACUUUCACCAGCCAGCCAACCAACAAAACAACUACCAUUGUUUUGUGCUUCAUCCAUUAUCUAAUUUAAUCCUUACAACACCACUGUGAGUUUGGCAACUUGGACGGGAUAAAAUUUCACUGGCUGGACACUGCUCGCUCCUGGACCACUGCAGCAGAGAGACCCCGGACCCCUGACAAGAGCCAGCAAGAGGGAAGAGUUCUUACCACGUCAGUCUCCCGGAUCUCUGCCUGCAGGUUCCAAUGGAAGCAAGAGUGGCUUAACUUUGGGAGCCCACCUGCAUCACCACCUCGUAGAAUAAAUUUAACUGGACUGAUCUAUUACCAGGACUAAGAAAUGUGUUUGGUGAGAUGAAACAAUGUACCACUCAGCUUCUGGACUAUGAAACUUCUUAAAGUUUCAAAGGACUGUGAAACUUAAAUUUCAAAGGUGGGACUGGAAUUGACCACCCCAAGAUAUGUCUCUUUGGCAUAAGGAUUAUUUUGGGCUGGUUACUUUUAAAAACUGCAGGCAUGAGAGAAACUCUGAAAAGUAGAAGUUACCCUUUGAAAGAGACAUUUACAUCGUAAAGGACAUCUCCAUCUAUAAAGGUGUCUCCCUCUCUGUACCAGGAAGAAGGGGGGAUGACCUUAUCUCCAGAAACUCUUAUCAAUGCAGAAG
rnacentral:lncRNA from 1 species